GGUGGGUUGGCAGAAUGGCAAUGCGCCGGUCUUGAAAACCGGUGGGUGAAAGCCCUUGCAGGUUCGAGUCCUGCACCCACCG
rnacentral:tRNA from 1 species